UACGAAGGGGGCUAGCGUUGCUCGGAAUCACUGGGCGUAAAGGGUGCGUAGGCGGCUGUUCAAGUCGGGGGUGAAAUCCCGUGGCUCAACCACGGAAUGGCCUUCGAUACUGGACGGCUCGAGACCGGAAGAGGUGAGUGGAACUGCGAGUGUAGAGGUGAAAUUCGUAGAUAUUCGCAAGAACACCAGUGGCGAAGGCGGCUCACUGGUCCGGUUCUGACGCUGAGGCGCGAAAGCGUGGGGAGCAAACAGG
rnacentral:rRNA from 1 species